rnacentral:misc_RNA from 1 species
UGUUACCAGAUCAAACUGUUAUCGGUGAAAUCUGGUAUCGGUAAUUUUCGAGCGUAAAUGGAGUGUGUAUCGAAUACCAGGUACUAAUUACUUCGUCACGCGAUAAGGCACCACUUGUGAGACAGUUACAAUCUGUUCUGUAUCUUGUAGCAGCAACUAUCGUAAGCAGUAAGCAGUAACGCAUCAAAUACGUUACGAUACCUAGAACGUGCUUAUACCUAGUUAGUAAAUUACUAAAAAAAUAAAGAUUUACCGAUUUUGAACUACUAUGUGAAAUUCAAGUAGUCGGAUUAGUGUGGAUGCUAAAGAAAUUUCUGACAAUAAUCAUAAAUUUUAAGUAUCGAGGGAAACGAAAGUUUGCUACCUUUGAGUCGAAGGUAAUUGCAGUCUUAACUAGCUGGCAAUCUGAUAAUGUCGCCUACGACAGAGGCAGAUACGAGGAGAAGAAUAUGAAACGCUACCAAGACCACGAGUGCAACAAUGCUGUCGAAUACGAAGUAACAUCGUACCAAAGGUAAAUAAACGUCUAGAAGCGGAUUUGGGAAAUACCUCUACUUUUAAUUAGCCUUCGACGCUUCCUGUAAUUGCCGAGUAGUUGCCUCUUAGACUUUCCCUACCGUCGUAACUUUUAAUCGCGCGAAUAAUUAGAAAAACGAGAAAUUAGAUGUUGCAAAAUUACGCAGUAACGGUGACAAGUAACGGUGGCAUUUUUUACAAUCUAAACAGUCUGAGAAAAAUCUCUCGAUCCUCGAAUACUCAACCCUCUGCGGUGGCAUUGAAACUGACGCUCGCUAUAGUUUGCGAGAAAGCGGCUUGUAACGCUCUUAUACAGGCUAUACAGGAUACGUA